UAAUUGAAGAGUUUGAUCAUGGCUCAGAUUGAACGCUGGCGGCAGGCCUAACACAUGCAAGUCGGGCGGUAACAGGGAGAAGCUUGCUUCUCCGCUGACGAGCGGCGGACGGGUGAGUAAUGUAUGGGGAUCUGCCUGAUGGCGGGGGAUAACUACUGGAAACGGUAGCUAAUACCGCAUAAUGUCUGCGGACCAAAGCGGGGGACCUUCGGGCCUCGCGCCAUCAGAUGAACCCAUAUGGGAUUAGCUAGUAGGUAAGGUAACGGCUUACCUAGGCGACGAUCCCUAGCUGGUCUGAGAGGAUGAUCAGCCACACUGGGACUGAGACACGGCCCAGACUCCUACGGGAGGCAGCAGUGGGGAAUAUUGCACAAUGGGCGCAAGCCUGAUGCAGCCAUGCCGCGUGUAUGAAGAAGGCCUUCGGGUUGUAAAGUACUUUCAGUCGGGAGGAAGGUGGUAAGGUUAAUAACCUUA
rnacentral:rRNA from 1 species